GUCCCUAGUUCGGAUUGUAGGCUGAAACUCGCCUACAUGAAGCUGGAAUUGCUAGUAAUCACAGGUCAGCAUACUGUGGUGAAUACGUUCCCGGGCCUUGUACACACCGCCCGUCACACCAUGAGAGUUGAGAAUACCCGAAGCCCAUGUCAAAGUGGUCGAAGGUAGGCUUGAUGAUUGGGGUGAAGUCGUAACAAGGUAUC
rnacentral:rRNA from 1 species